UACGUAGGGUGCAAGCGUUAAUCGGAAUUACUGGGCGUAAAGCGUGCGCAGGCGGUUAUGUAAGACAGUUGUGAAAUCCCCGGGCUCAACCUGGGAAUUGCAUCUGUGACUGCAUAGCUAGAGUACGGUAGAGGGGGAUGGAAUUCCAGGUGUAGCGGUGAAAUGCGUAGAUAUCUGGAGGAAUACCGGUGGCGAAGGCGGCUUACUGGUCCAUAACUGACGCUGAGGUGCGAAAGCGUGGGGAGCAAACAGG
rnacentral:rRNA from 1 species